rnacentral:lncRNA from 1 species
UUCUUUGGUUCAAUAUGGUAAUGAAACUGUAUGUAUGAUUUGUAUUAUUAUAGAUGAAAGCACAAUAUGACAAGUUUUCUUUUGGUAUGAAAUUUUUAACAUUGUGUCAUUUUUAUUUCUCAAAUAUAUUUUCUUCUUUCUUUGUUCUUGAACAUCUAUCUCUCCAGAAAAGAAAAAUAACAAUAUAGAUAACAAUAUAUUUUAGAUAUAAAAGCAGAUGGGAAUGAUUUUAUUUUGUAUCUUACAUUUGCCAAUGGAAAUGUUGAAAUGAAAACACACAGAGCAAUUUACAAUACUCCCUUUUCAAAAAGUAUUAGAUACAUUGCAGCCAGGAAAUUCGUGACAAGCCUUACUCUUUUUUUAUUGAAAAUAGAUUCUUCUCUCAUACCAGUCCACAGUUUCCCCUCAUUCCGCUCCUUCUAAUUCUCAGCACUUCUGCUCUCCAGCAGAUCCACCCCUCCUCCGUUUCUCUUCAGAAAGAAAUAGGCCUCUAACAGACAACAACAAAACACCACAAAUGAAUACAAAACAAAACAACAUAAAAUUAGACAAGGCAGAAUGCCUCAUAUCAAGGUUGGACAAGGCAACUCAAUAGAAGGAAAAGAAACCCAAGAGCAGGCAGAAAAAGUGGCAGAAACACACUGGAACCUCUCUGAGGCAUCCCACAAAACACAUCCAUUACAUAUAAGAGGAAGACCUGGUGCAAAUCCAUGCAGGCCCCAGGCUUGCUACUUUGGUUUCUGAGCCCCUAUUUGCCCUGCUAAGUUUAUGCAGAGGGCCAAGUUUUUCUGGUGUCCUUGGUUGCCUCUGAUUCCUACAAUCUUUCCUUUCCCUCUUCAAGGGAUUACCAGAUUUUUAAGGGAAGGAUCCAAUGGAGAACUCCAAUUUAGACUUUCUCUUCAGAUAAGCUUUGGAUGUAGGCCUCUGUACCUACUCUCAUCUGCUGCCAGAGGAAGUCUCUCUAAUGAUGAGGCAUAGAUAGAUGACUGUAUCAGAAAACUAUUAGAAAUUAUUCAUUCAUUUUAUUUUUUUUUUAGCUUGUUGUUGUUUCUUUGUUUGCUUUGCCAGUCAAAUUUUAUUCUACUCUAGGUCUGUGAACUAUCUAGUCUCUAGUCCCUGGCCAUCCAAGCAGUGUUCAGCAUGGACUCUCACUUGUGGACUGGGCCACAAUUUAAACCAGACUUUGGCCACACCCACAAUUUCUGUACUUGUGCUCCAACACAUCUUGCAAGCAGGACAGAUUUUAGAACAAAGGUUUUAUGGUUGGGAUGGUGUAGAGUUGGCCUGCAGAGUACCUUCCCAUAGCAGGGGUGAAGGCUCCAUGCUACCACCAACUCAACCUCUCUAUGUUUAGUGAGCUGUUUGGAUGCUGUCCUCUGCAAUGGGGCCUGCUUUCUGUUUUCCAAGAGGGAGCCUCUGCCCUAGCAUCAGCCUGGGCAUUUUGAGCAUCUUUUUAGCACAUCCUUGGACAAGAUUUUAACCAAAUACCAUGUGGGGCCCACCACCAGAAGGCUUAUCUGGCUACAAAAAUGGCCAAUGGGGUCUUUCUUUUCUGGACUAAUCUAUUUUCUGUUCUGUACACUUCUACCACAUUUAUGUCAUUACCUCCUUUAGAUGAGUAUAAUUUUUUCUAUGAUUUUGUUGGAAAUAUUCUGAGCUGGGAUUCUUCUUCCUCUAUCCCAGUGUUUCCCACCAUAUGAGUGAAAUCUCUGUUGGGAAUUGGAAGACCCUUUGACAGGAGUCACCAACGACCACUGGAAAACAUAUAUAUCCAUUACAAUUCAUAAAAGUAUGGAAAGUACAGUUUGGAAGUAGCAAUGAAACUGAUUUUUUAUGGGUGGAGGUCACCACAACUUGAGAAAUUGUUUGAAAGGGUCUCAUUAUAAACUACAGCUCUGUUCCUAUUAUUCUUAGAUUUGGUCUUUUUAUAUUGUUCUGAAUUUUCUAGCUGUUUUGUGUCAGGAAUGUUUUAGAUUUAACAUUUUCUUUGGCCGAUGUAUCCAUUUCUUUUUAAAAAAAAAAUUAUUAGAUGUUUUCUUUAUUUACAUUUCAAAUGCUAUCCAGAAAGUCCCCUAUACCCUCCCCCUGCCCUGCCCCCCUACCCACCCACUCCCACUUCUUGGCCCUGGAGUUCCCCUGUACUGGGGCAUAUAAAGUUUGGAAGACCAAGGGGCCUCUCUUCCCAAUGAUGGCCAACUAGGCCAUCUUCUGCUACAUAUGCAGCUAGAGACAAGAGCUCUGAGGGUACUGGUUAGUUCAUAGUGUUGUUCCACCUAUAGGGUUCUAUUGCAUCCUCAAUGUCUGGGAUUCUCUCUUCAGUUUCUUGUAUUCUGUUGGUGUAGAUUGCCACUAUAGUUACUGUUCACAAUCCUAAGUUUUCCAUUUCCAGAAUUCCUUUGUGUAUUUUCUUUAUUCUUCUAUUUCCAUUUACAGGUCUUAGGACAAUUUUAUUCAGUUCUUUCUACUGUUUUUUUUUUUUUUAAGGGAUUUAUUCAUUUCCUUUUUAAGGACCUCUAUCAUCUCCAUAGACUUGCUUUUAAGGUUUUUUUUUUUUUUUCCUUCAGGCAUGUUGGAAUAUUAAAGCCUGCUGUGGUAGAUUAGCUGGACUCUGUUGGAGACAUAUUGCCCUGUGUUUAAUUGAUUGUAUUUUUUUUUUAUGCUGGAAUCUAGGUACCUGGUUUGGUGAUGAAUAAAGGUCCAUGUGCUGGUUUCUGGGUUUUUCUUUCUUGGGUGGAUAUUUUGUCCCUUAGUUUCUGUUCUUGCUGUGGAAUAUAAAGAAUUUGUUGGCUGUGUGUUACCUGCAAUACUGGCCUGUUCAGCUGUGUGUUUACUGGGAGGAAUUUCUGUUGAGGCUGGUGGGAGGGGAAGGCAGGAGAGAUCGUCUGUGUGAUACGCAGACAGGGGCAAAAAGAGGCUGUAUACAGCAGGAGUUCUGUUGUAGCACUAGGAAUGUUCCUGAGGAUUGGGUAUGGGGGAACAGAGAAGAGUGGAAGAGGUCUGUAGGCUGCCUAUCUGGUCUUCUGACAGAUGUGGUCUGCGGUUGAGCAGGGAAUAUUUGCAAGGGCUGGGGGCUAGGACAUAUCAAGAAGGGGGGAAGUAGGUGGGGGAUGGUCUAAGGAUCCAUAUGAGUCAGAUAUAGGGAAAAGAGAAGGGUACAGCUGCUAUUAUGUUGUAGCACUCAAGACAACCCUAAGGAUUGGAUCUAGGCAAAGGACUGGGAGAGAGAUAG